GUGGGUAUAGCUCAGUGGUAGAGUGUGUGCUUAGCAUGCACGAGGUCUUGGGUUCAAUCCCUAGUACCUCCA
rnacentral:tRNA from 1 species